GGCAGUGAUGGUGUAAUUUGCGUCUGACUCUGUGUCGGUGACAGAAUGCCUACUGUCAUAUACUGACACAGAUGACUGACGAUGACAGACUCUGAGCU
rnacentral:snoRNA from 1 species